rnacentral:rRNA from 1 species
GAUGAACGCUGGCGGCGUGCCUAAUACAUGCCAGUCGAGCGAACAGACGAGGAGCUUGCUCCUCUGACGUUAGCGGCGGACGGGUGAGUAACACGUGGAUAACCUACCUAUAAGACUGGGAUAACUUCGGGAAACCGGAGCUAAUACCGGAUAAUAUAUUGAACCGCAUGGUUCCAUAGUGAAAGACGGUUUUGCUGUCACUUAUAGAUGGAUCCGCGCCGCAUUAGCUAGUUGGUAAGGUAACGGCUUACCAAGGCGACGAUGCGUAGCCGACCUGAGAGGGUGAUCGGCCACACUGGAACUGAGACACGGUCCAGACUCCUACGGGAGGCAGCAGUAGGGAAUCUUCCGCAAUGGGCGAAAGCCUGACGGAGCAACGCCGCGUGAGUGAUGAAGGUCUUCGGAUCGUAAAACUCUGUUAUUAGGGAAGAACAAAUGUGUAAGUAACUAUGCACGUCUUGACGGUACCUAAUCAGAAAGCCACGGCUAACUACGUG